rnacentral:rRNA from 1 species
GACGAACCGAGCGAACGUUAUUCGGAAUCACUGGGCUUAAAGGGCGCGUAGGCGGCACAGCAAGUCGGGAGUGAAAGCCCGGGGCUCAACCCCGGAAUGGCUUUCGAAACUGCUGAGCUAGAGUACAGAAGGGGCAACCGGAAUUCCCAGUGUAGCGGUGAAAUGCGUAGAUAUUGGGAAGAACACCUGAGGCGAAGGCGGGUUGCUGGGCUGAUACUGACGCUGAGGCGCGAAAGCCAGGGGAGCAAACGGG